rnacentral:miRNA from 1 species
CCUUCCAGAGGUUUCUUCUGAG